UUUGGCUAUUAUUGAUAGUGCUGCUAUAAAUAUUGAGGUACAGGUAUCCCUAUGCAUCAGCAAUCCUGUAAACCCUUGGGUAAAUUCCAAGCAGUGCUAUUGCUGGGUCAUAAGGUAGAUCUAUUUUUUUUUGGGGGGGGGGAACCUCCACACUGUUUUCCAGAGCAG